CCCUGACUCCCGCAGCUCAUCCACACACAUCUAGCUCCUGCACCUUACCCUACACUGGAGGACAGCAAGAUAAGGACAAGGCAGGCACUUCUAAAGAGCUGUAACCACUUCAUUAUAAUUAAGUGAGCCACUGAGGAGCUAGGCCUGAAGGUUCAGGGUGUGGAGAUGAGGAUGCUGAAGGCGACUACAACAUUGAGUGAGGAGAUGUGGGUGCCGUCGUGGGCUGUCGACUGACAUUUGCAAUAGGACUACACUGGACAACAGAAACCACCAUAUAAAAGAAAGGAGGAUGGCAGAAAUUGAACAAGGCCAGAGAAAGAUAGCAAAGACAAGAUGUAGUGCUGAAAACCACUCCUCCUCUCCUAAUGUUUUUUCCUCCUACUAAGUCUGGUGGCGAGGAAGUCCAGGCAAAUACCAGCUCAAGUAAACCUACUGCACCUGAUGAAAAAGAACACCUUCUUGUAAUUGUGACUUCUGUAGCUACAGUCUCACUUCAUUCCUCUGAAGACUUCCCCUGUGAUGGUAAUAUAAAAAUAUCCUUCUCUGAUGAUCCAGGUGAGUGGGACAUGAUUUUUCAAGAUCUCAUUG